rnacentral:sRNA from 1 species
CCAGACUGGUAGUGAGGCGUUGGACUCCGAGGCGCUGCAAUGCCGCUGGAGCUGGAGCUGUGUCCCGGGCGCUGGGUGGGCGGGCAACACCCGUGCUUCAUCAUUGCCGAGAUCGGCCAGAACCACCAGGGCGACCUGGACGUAGCCAAGCGCAUGAUCCGCAUGGCCAAGGAGUGUGGGGCUGAUUGUGCCAAGUUCCAGAAGAGUGAGCUAGAAUUCAAGUUUAAUCGGAAAGCCUUGGAGAGGCCAUACACCUCGAAGCAUUCCUGGGGGAAGACGUACGGGGAGCACAAACGACAUCUGGAGUUCAGCCAUGACCAGUACAGGGAGCUGCAGAGGUACGCCGAGGAGGUUGGGAUCUUCUUCACUGCCUCUGGCAUGGAUGAGGUGAGUCCUCUGCUGCUCUGUCAUUUGUCACUUUAGCAGACCAAGGGCCAGCAGGCAGCCUGGUGACUUCCAGCUUAGGGCCACCUCCAGCCCUUGCUCAUCCUUUCUGUUCCCAACUACUGGAGAGGCUAGCAGGCGCCAAAGCCCAGUGAGAAUCUGUGGGAAGGAUGCCAUUGUUUUAAAAACACGUUGUCUCUGGCCGGGCUUGAUGGCUCACACCUGUAAUCCCGGCACUUUGGGAGACUGAGGGGGAUGGAUCACC